rnacentral:rRNA from 1 species
AUGGGCAGUUCUGGUAGCCCCGCGGUAGCCGCUCUACGAACAACAACCCAGCUACUCCCGAUACGCACGCCAAGAUCAGCAGUGGCCGAAUGGACGAAGACGGACGAUUCCACGGCGGCGGCCGCGGAGGAGCCCUUGAGCCCUACUGCAAGGCUCAUGGAAGCCAUAUACAUCGUCGUUACAAUCGGCCUUGGCUCGCCGGUAAACGUACCCGUCUUCAGCGCCGGCAUCGCCACCCAGCUUGCCCGUUACCCGCGCUUCCGCAGCAUCCAAGUGACAGACGGGCGCAAGAACCCGCGGUGGGAGCGCACGGUGGUGAACGUGGGCGAUCACAUCAUCGUCCCGACGCUGGACCCCGCCGCCGUGGAGGCUGACCCGGACCGGGCCGUGGAGGACUACGUGGCCUCGCUGCCCGCGCUCCCCAUGGACUGCUCCCGCCCGCUCUGGGAGUUCCACUUCCUCGACUUCCCGACCUCCGAGGCGGCCGCCACCGCGGUCAUCCGCGUGCACCACUCUCUCGGUGACGGGAUGUCGUUGAUCACGAUGCUCCUGGCGUCCGCGCGUAGUGCCGCCGACCCGACAUGCCUGCCGGCCAUGCCGGAGCAGCCGGAGCGCACGGGCGCCAUCUACGAGCCGCGGCGCCGGCAGCAGUCGUCCGGGAGCGCCCUGGCGGCGUUCGUCACAUGGAUUUGGCCGUAUCUUGUGCUCGCAUGGAACACCAUGGUGGACGUUGCCUCCUUUGCUGCGACGAUUGUGUUCCUCAGAGACCCGCCCACGCUCUUCAGACGUGCGGAUGACCACGUCAUGUCCAAUCCCCGCAGGCGCUUUGUACACCGGAGCCUUAGCUUGGGCGAUGUCAAAUUGAUCAAGAAUGCCAUGAACUGCACUGUCAAUGAUGUACUUGUCGGGGCGACUUCUGCAGCUCUAUCACGAUAUUACUUUCGCAAGUCUGGUUCCUCUAAGACAAACAAACUAUGUUUGCGGUCUGUUCUCCCUGUCAAUACAAGGCCAACCACUAGCCUACAAACGUAUGUUGAUAUGAUAGAAGCUGGUAAGAGUAACGAUGUGGCAUGGGGAAAUCAACUAGGCUACAUCCUCCUUACAUUUCAUUUAGCGAUGCACGAUGAUCCACUUGCAUAUGUUCGCAAGGGGAAGAAGACAACUGAUAGGAAAAAGAGGUCACUUGAAGUUAUCUUCACGCAUAAGAUGAAUGAAUUGUUUGUCAAAAUGUUUGGCAUGAAGGCGGGCUCUUCUAUCUUCCAACGUAUGUUCGCCAAUACAACUAUUUUAUUCUCAAAUAUGGUUGGACCAACUGAACAAAUAGAGUUAUGUGGCCACCCAAUUGUGUUCAUUGCGCCUAGUAUCUACGGAGGCUCACAAGCUUUGGUUGUGCACUACCAGAGUUACAAUAGCACUAUUAAGGUAAUUUUGGCAGUCGACAAUGAAGUCAUUCCAGAUUAUACUCAACUUUUGGAUGACUUCACUGAGUCCUUCGGGUACAUUAAGGAUGCAGCCUCAGAGCUUUCCACACCCACCAUCAACAGAGAGUAA